AUUUUUCAAAAUACCAUAAACUUUUUUUUAAUUUCCGUCAGAAAGUAUUUGAGGGUACUAUAGGUAAUUUUGUAUCUGAAGCUUUGAGACAUGAUGCACGCUCCCACAAUCCAAUCAUGAUUUUUCUGUUCAUAAUCGUUCAAUAUCAUCAGAUAUUCAGAUCUUGUGCGGUUAUUUCCUGAAAUUUUAACUCAAUGGAAUCAAUCAAUCAAGUAACCUUCUGUAAUCUCGCAAUAUUUUGUAAACACAUGUAUGUUUUCCCUAAUCGAUUACUUAGGCAAUUAAUUUUGCCCUAGUUUUUAGAUCAGUUUCUUAAAUCUCUCAUCUCCUUUUAUCCUAGAUUUCUCUAUUUCGUUCCCCCCACACUACCACCAUUGGAAGAUCAAUUGGAAGUAUAAUCGACACUCUAACAAAUAGGUGCACUCUCUCUUUACUUUCUCAUGGUCGAGUUGGUAGCAAUCGGAGACGUGUUCGACCCUCCGUCUUCAUUUUGGUUUGUGGCUAACAAACAUAUAACCAGACAUCUCACUUUUUGAAGCUCAAAUGUUCAUUGACUCAUGAGCCAAUUCUGAUUUCUCGAUUGUUCAUAGUUAAGACUCGAAUUACAUGGAAUUCUAGAUGAAUGUUGUUGAUUGUUAAAGUUUAGUGAUCAUUGUCUUGUAUAUGGUUUACUGAUUUCUUGAUUUUGGUCUUAAGUUUGAUUUGGGAUUUCAUUGGUUUCUCGAUUUUGACUUAAGCUCUAGUUUCUUUUCUAA